UUUAUGUUUCAAAAGUUUUUUAUUGUCUUGUGUCAAAGAAAGACUCAAUAUCAACCAGACAAGUAAUUGUUCCAUCAAGAAACAGCAGAUUAAAAAACAAAGGGAGAGAAUACAUGGCAAAGCAAAGGUCAGAUUCUCCACAGUAUAAUAAAUUGUCGUAGAAAAGAAAUACAACACCAGAGGAAAUUAUGCAUAGAACAACCCAAAAUGGAGUCCACAAUGUGAGCCUUGUGGUUUCAAUAUUUCAACUAAGACGAUCUCAA